rnacentral:lncRNA from 1 species
CCCGGAUUUGCCGCCGCGCUUGGGAAGCCGCCACCGCCGCCGCUGCUGCAUGGCACUAGGCUCCCGGCGGGGCAGGUUCCGCAGCCGGCACCGCUCUGGCUAGGCGCACGGAGGCGCCUUGCUUAGUCUGACCCUUAUUUGGCCAGGCGUAAAACUUGUCCUGCCUAAAAGCCUACUGAGACCUCCUAACUGGUCUAAUCCGCGGGAGACGCCAAAGGCGGCGGCCGUUUGUGCGCACAGGAUUUUUCUUGGAGCUGUAGCAGUCUAGGAAGCCAGGGUGGAACUUUUGCUAAGCUCCCGUUGUAAGCCCAGAGCUGUAAUAACUGCUGAGACACAACCAGCAGUAUACAGGCUCCAGUUGGAAAUCGAGAACUUUCCAGGGCUGUCACCCAGGCUGGAGUGCAGUGGUGCCAUCACAGCUCACUGCAGCCUCGACCUCCUAGGCUAAAGUGAUCCUCCCAACUCAGCCUCCCGUAGCUGGGACUACAGGAAUGUGCCACGCCCAGAUGGUAAACUCCUGCAAAGCAGAUUGUUUGGUUCUUCUUCCUUCACGGUGCCUGACCCAUCGUUCUGCAGAUAUUAGCUCCUGGAUGUACUUGUAAGCACCUAUCUUGGCCUACCUGAUGGCUGCCACCAGACAGAAAGGAAAGAGUCUUACUCCCCACCUGGAAGCUCUUAAAAAAAGACUGCUGAGGCCUAGGCGGGUGGAUCACGAGGUCAAGAGAUCAAGACCAUCCUGGCUAACAUGGUGAAACCUCGUCUCUACUAAAAAUACAAAAAUUAACUGGUCGUGGUGGUGCACACCUACAGUCCCAGCUACUCGGGAGGCUGAGGCAGGAGAAUCUCUUGAACCUGGAGAUGGAGGUUGCAGUGAGCCGAGAUCGCACCACUGCACUCCAGCAUGGCAACAGAGUGAGACUCUGUUUCAAAAAAAAAAAAAAAAAAAGAAAGAAAGAAAAAAGAAAGACUGCUGGGCACCAUCCUCAGAGUUACUGAUUCAGGAAGUCUGGCUGGAGUGGGGCCUGAGAAAUUUCUUUUCUAACAACUUAGUUAUUGAUCCAGAACCCAGCUUUGGGAACUGCCACUUUAUUAUUUCAUAAACUUCACUGGAAGAGAGAUUGUGCCUAUGUAUCCACCAUUCUAUCACCUGUGCCUAGUAUGUUUAUGGCAUGAAUGAAUCUCUUUUGGAUGAAAAAGUGAUGGUGAAACCCUGUCUCAUUCAUAGUGAAAACACAUACAGAACAUUGGAAACCUUCACCCAGCUCAUUAAAGAUAAUGCUUGCCAAUGAACCACAACAAAUAACAUUGGUUUAGGGAUCUCUGCUACUAUAGACCCUAGAGUAUCUGGGGCAUUUCUCAUGAAAGUUCUGAUUAGUUUUUCCUGAGGCACUACUUUAUGGUAAUAAAAUUGGCAUUCCAUCAACAGGUUGAUCGACUGUUCAGGCUUCCCUUCAAGGUGGCUUGAAAUAGCAGAAGCAAUAGUCUCUUUUAAAUAAAUAAAAUUUUUUUAAUACAUAAAGUCUCUCUUAAAGGGCCAUCUGCUUUCAAUUUUUCAUUUAAACCUUCUGAAGGCUCACCAAGUGCCAUAAGAUAAAGAGAGCAAAAGUAAGGUGUAGCAUCACAGGCAAUAAUAUUCCUAUCAUUGCCAAAGUACUAUAGGGAUUACUGCAUAGUGGCAAUUCUCUUAUAUCCUAAAAAUAUUAAUGUGUUUUGAUUCUGAAGGAAACCAAAAUACACCACUUUCAAAUAUAUGUCUUUAAUAUAUUUUGAUGUGGCUAUUCAGAGAGGCUGCAGACCAUAGGAAUACCUUUUACAAGCUGUCCUUUUGUGAGGAAGAUUUGCAACUGUAGAGGAAAUCUACAUAAGUGAAGUUGACAGUGAAUACAAACAGGCUUUCUCUGAGCCCCAUCCCUUAUCUGCCUUUAUCCACAUCUAGAAAAGAUUAACUCACAAACAAAGGAGACUAAAACUUUUUCCUCAGGCUCCUAUCUAUACCAAGAGCUGCUACCAAUGAGCUUUCAUCUGCAUAAUAAGAAAAACUUUGCUUGCCAUUGUCAACCUGAAAUAAUUGACAGGAUCAGAACCCAAUUUUAAAAAGUUUAUUUAAGUGAAAAGCUGAGAAUAACUAUCCAAGAAACAUGGACUCCUGAGAAAUGGGGUCAGUGCUCUGAAGUUAAAAGUUAAGUUCUUCCUUAUAUUAGCAGAAAACAAGGACAGUUAGUAGGAUUAUAACAUUUUCUAUAUAAGCCUCGUUUAUGAGUUACAACUAACUUUUUUUUAACAGCUUGUUUUCAUAUCCUUUCCAAUUUAAAAGCAUAUUUAAUGUUCCAUCUUAGACAAUGUGACAGUAAUGAAGUCUUUGUGUAAGAGAGGAAAGAGGAAAGUUAAUCUACAAUGAAGAUCAACAGUGAACAGGGAAGGGGUCUUCUCUGGCAACCUUCUGUCAUUUACCACAUUUUAUAAAACACUGUAGGUAAAGAAAAGGCUAAUUGAUAACCAAAACAACAAAGAUUACAGCUGCCUGCGUUACAACUGCCUGUCACAUGACUCAGGUCCCAUAAUCACAUUCCCUUAAGGCUCAAAAUAUCUGAAAGUUCCAACAGCUUAGAUUCUGAAUUACUUGUUUUCACACCAUGCUUUCCUCCCAUCAUUCUCUUGGAAUGCCACCUCCUCCCUCCUCUAGAAGCCUCAAGCCCCUAAUCUUUCUGUCCCCUCAGGAUGGUGUAAAAACUUCAGCCAUCUGUUCUGUCCUUUGAAUUUCAUGUUUGCAAGGCUCCUAUGUUCAUGUAUGUAUAAAUAUAUUUGUGUGCCCUUCUCCUGUUAAUCUGUCUAUUUUAAGUUUGGUUUAUAGAAUAAAGUUAUCAAACCUUCAGAAAAGGGAGGGAAGGAAAUUCCUUUUGCUCCUACAGUUUAAUAUUAGUCUUUUUGUAAUAAAAAAAAUCCUAAUUUUUUUUUAUUGUAAGCAGACCUUCCCUGUCUGCUUACAAUUUUAAUAUUUCAAGGUGGAUUUUCUCAGACUAGAGGUAGAAGCAGCACAGAGCUAUUAUGCUGAUGAUUCACGUUUUUGACUCUUGGGUUACACAUUUAUUUAAUUAUCA